AAAACCAGACUAUUGGUGAGAGACAAUAAAUGCGCUAGGACGUCAUUUAAAUACGCGUGUCAUCAAACUUUUGUCUGGCGCGCGUCGCGAGGAAAAACAAAACAAACAACCCGCGGGGAAAAAAAAUGUCAGGCGCAUUUUUAUUUUUCAGAACUGUGGAUAUCGGCUCGAUAUAUUUGGUGGCGGGUUCGGAUACAUGUUGAUUGAAUUUAAUUCCCUUGGCUGAAAUCCAUGAAGGCACGGGAUCUACAGAGCAACUGUAUUAGUGCAGUGAGAACAAGACAUCUCAGAACCAACAUACAGCUGACAGCAGCCCUUCAAGAAGUACUUUAAGACUCUGAUAUGGGAUUCACCAUUACCACAGCUUCAGAUUUGAGUCAUCGGAACGUGGCAUUUUUAAGACUGGAACAUGAAGAAAGCAAACAAUGCAGAGGAAGAAAAUUAUCCCCUUUGGUGAACCCUGCUGACAUAGUCUCUCAGAUACUCCCUGAUAAGCUAUCAACUGGAUUUUCCAAAUAGAGGGAAUAUGAUAUAUGGAAAGAUCUUAGAUGAGGACAAGGCACCUCGCGGCCUCCCCGGUAGGAGAGGAAAUUGAACAAUGAAUACAUGUUUUACUUUGAAUGAACAAACUCUGAAGUUUUUCGAUAAAAAAAUUAAACUUAAUUUGUAACGUUUGCUAACCAAUUAGAAGGAUGUCAUUGUAGAAAAUUGAAAUGUGGUAAGUUUGCUGCUGUAUUAAGAAGUUUGUGAUAAUGUUAAACACACACACUAGGGAGAGAUUAUCGUGUUUUAUAUAAUUUUUAGUGCAAAUUUGGACAGUGGAGA